GAUGAACGCUAGCGGCAGGCUUAAUACAUGCAAGUCGAGGGGCAGCAGCUUUAUAGCAAUAUAGAGGCUGGCGACCGGCAAACGGGUGCGGAACACGUACACAACCUUCCUUUAAGAGGGGGAUAGCCCAUAGAAAUGUGGAUUAAUACCCCGUAACAUAUCGGUGUGGCAUCAAACUGUUAUCAGAGUUUCGCCGCUUGAAGAUGGGUGUGCGGCUGAUUAGGUAGUUGGCGGGGUAAAGGCCCACCAAGCCUUCGAUCAGUAGCUGAUGUGAGAGCAUGAUCAGCCACACGGGCACUGAGACACGGGCCCGACUCCUACGGGAGGCAGCAGUAAGGAAUAUUGGUCAAUGGACGCAAGUCUGAACCAGCCAUGCCGCGUGAAGGAUGAAGGUCCUCUGGAUUGUAAACUUCUUUUAUAGGGGGCGAAAAAAGGGAAUUCUUUCUCACUUGACAGUACCCUAUGAAUAAGCACCGGCUAACUCCGUGCCAGCCGCCGCAGUAA
rnacentral:rRNA from 1 species